rnacentral:misc_RNA from 1 species
GAUGAAGAACGUAGCGAAAUGCGAUAAGUAGUGUGAAUUGCAGAAUUCAGUGAAUCAUCGAAUCUUUGAACGCACAUUGCGCCCCUUGGUAUUCCAUGGGGCAUGCCUGUUCGAGCGUCAUUUGUACCCUCAAGCUUUGCUUGGUGUUGGGUGUUUGUCCUCUCCUUUGCGUUUGGACUCGCCUUAAAGCAAUUGGCAGCCAGUGUUUUGGUAUUGAAGCGCAGCACAAUUUGCGAUUCUAACCGACUACACUUGCGUCCAUAAGCCUUUUUUAACUUUUGACCUCGGAUCAGGUAGGGAUACCCGCUGAACUUAAGCAUAUCAAUAGCGGAGGA